rnacentral:rRNA from 1 species
GUAGGGAAUCUUGCGCAAUGGGCGAAAGCCUGACGCAGCCAUGCCGCGUGAAUGAUGAAGGUCUUAGGAUUGUAAAAUUCUUUCACCGGGGACGAUAAUGACGGUACCCGGAGAAGAAGCCCCGGCUAACUUCGUGCCAGCAGCCGCGGUAAUACGAAGGGGGCUAGCGUUGCUCGGAAUUACUGGGCGUAAAGGGAGCGUAGGCGGAUAGUUUAGUCAGAGGUGAAAGCCCAGGGCUCAACCUUGGAAUUGCCUUUGAUACUGGCUAUCUUGAGUAUGGAAGAGGUAUGUGGAACUCCGAGUGUAGAGGUGAAAUUCGUAGAUAUUCGGAAGAACACCAGUGGCGAAGGCGACAUACUGGUCCAUUACUGACGCUGAGGCUCGAAAGCGUGGGGAGCAAACAGGAUUAGAUACCCUGGUAGUCC